UACGGAGGGGGGCUAGCGUUGUUCGGAAUCAUUGGGCGUAAAGGGCGCGUAGGCGGCCGAUCAAGUCGGAGGUGAAAUCCCUCGGCUCAACUGAGGAAUUGCCUUCGAUACUGUUCGGCUUGAGUCCUGGAGAGGGUAGCGGAAUUCCCGGUGUAGUGGUGAAAUGCGUAGAUAUCGGGAGGAACACCAGUGGCGAAGGCGGACUACCUGGCCUGUUCUUGACGCUGAGGCGCGAAAGCUAGGGGAGCAAACGGG
rnacentral:rRNA from 1 species